rnacentral:rRNA from 1 species
CUACGGGCGGCUCCAGUUUCGAAUAAUUCACAAUGGGCGCAAGCCUGAUGAUGCGACGUUACGUGAAGGAAGAAAGCUUUAAGUUGUAAACUUCUGUCGUUAAGGAACAAAAAAUUAAGUAGUACUUUUUAUAUUGAGUUAACUUAAAAAGGAAGCAGUGGCUAAUUUCGUGCCAGCAGCCGCGGUAAUACGGGAACUGCAAGCGUUGCUCGGUUUUAUUGGGCGUAAAGAGUACGUAGGCUGUUAUAUAUGUUAAUUGUUAAAUUUUAAAGUUAAUCUUUAAAUUUGCUGUUAAAACUUAUAACUAGAAUUUCAAAGAGGUAAGUGGAAUUUCAAGUGUAGCGGUGAAAUGCGUAGAUAUUUGAAGAAACACCAAUGGCGAAAGCAACUUACUGGGUGAUAAUUGACGCUAAAGUACGAAAGUAUAGGGAGCAAAAGGGAUUAGAUACCCCCGUAGUC